rnacentral:rRNA from 1 species
CCAGGCCCUACGGGGCGCAGCAGGCGCGAAACCUUCACAAUGCCCGAAAGGGUGAUGAGGCUACCCCGAGUGCUAUUCGCAGAGAAUAGCUUUUGUUAGGUCUAAAAAGCCUAGCGAAUAAGGGGAGGGUAAGACUGGUGUCAGCCGCCGCGGUAAUACCAGCUCCCCGACUGGUCGGGAUGAUUAUUGGGCCUAAAGCGUCCGUAGCCGGUCCUUUGUGUGAUUCGUUAAAUCUAGCGGCUCAACCGCUGGGCUGCGAAUCAUACUAUAGGGCUAGGGGGCGGGAGAGGCUAAAGGUACUCCAUGGGUAGGGGUAAAAUCCGCUGAUCCGUGGAAGACCAACAGUGGCGAAGGCGUUUAGCCAGAACGCGCCCGACGGUGAGGGACGAAAGCUAGGGGAGCAAACCGGAUUAGAUACCCGGGUAGUCCUAGCUGUAAACGACGCUCGCUAGGUCUUGGAAGAGCUUUGUGCUCUGCCAGGGCCGCAGGGAAGCCGUUAAGCGAGCCGCCUGGGGAGUACGGCCGCAAGGCCGAAACUUAAAGGAAUUGGCGGGGGAGCACCACAAGGGGUGAAGCCUGCGGUUUAAUUUGGAGUCAACGCCGGGAACCUUACCAGGGGUUGACGGCAGAGUGAUGGUCAGGCUAAAGACCUUACCUGACAAGCCCAGAAGAAGUGCAUGGCCGUCGCCAGCUCGUGCUGUGAAAUGUCCUGGUAAGUCAGGGCAACGAGCGAGACCCCUGCUGGUAGUUGCUUCUUUGUUUCCCAAAAGGUAAUUGAGGGGGAAACUAACCAGGACUGCCGCCCAAUAAAGGCG